rnacentral:rRNA from 1 species
UGCAAGUCGAACGCACAGCGAAAGGUGCUUGCACCUUUCAAGUGAGUGGCGAACGGGUGAGUAACACGUGGACAACCUGCCUCAAGGCUGGGGAUAACAUUUGGAAACAGAUGCUAAUACCGAAUAAAACUUAGUGUCGCAUGACACAAAGUUAAAAGGCGCUUCGGCGUCACCUAGAGAUGGAUCCGCGGUGCAUUAGUUAGUUGGUGGGGUAAAGGCCUACCAAGACAAUGAUGCAUAGCCGAGUUGAGAGACUGAUCGGCCACAUUGGGACUGAGACACGGCCCAAACUCCUACGGGAGGCUGCAGUAGGGAAUCUUCCACAAUGGGCGAAAGCCUGAUGGAGCAACGCCGCGUGUGUGAUGAAGGCUUUCGGGUCGUAAAGCACUGUUGUAUGGGAAGAACAGCUAGAAUAGGAAAUGAUUUUAGUUUGACGGUACCAUACCAGAAAGGGACGGCUAAAUACGUGCCAGCAGCCGCGGUAAUACGUAUGUCCCGAGCGUUAUCCGGAUUUAUUGGGCGUAAAGCGAGCGCAGACGGUUUAUUAAGUCUGAUGUGAAAGCCCGGAGCUCAACUCCGGAAUGGCAUUGGAAACUGGUUAACUUGAGUGCAGUAGAGGUAAGUGGAACUCCAUGUGUAGCG